rnacentral:precursor_RNA from 12 species
GAAGACUGAAUUCCAGUAACUGGAACAGUUAACUCACAUUAGGCAACCUGCUUCAGCUCGCCCAGCAAGUUGGCUAAUGUGAGUUCACUGAUCCGGUUUCCUCCUCUGUGGAAGAGA